GUCUACACCCAUACCACCCUGAACACACCCGAUCUCAGAAGCUAAGCAGGGUCGGGCCUGGUUAGUACUUGGAUGGGAGAAAAUGUAUCUUGGCAAAUAAAUGGUGGACA
rnacentral:rRNA from 1 species